rnacentral:rRNA from 1 species
UACGUAGGGGGCAAGCGUUGUCCGGAUUUAUUGAGCGUAAAGAGCGUGUAGGCGGCUAGGUAGGUCCGUUGUGAAAACUCGAGGCUCAACCUCGAGACGCCGAUGGAAACCAUCUGGCUAGAGUCCGGAAGAGGAGAGUGGAAUUCCUGGUGUAGCGGUGAAAUGCGCAGAUAUCAGGAAGAACACCCGUGGCGAAGGCGGCUCUCUGGGACGGUACUGACGCUGAGACGCGAAAGCGUGGGGAGCGAACAGG